CCUUGCUUGACUGGCUGCAGUUUGAACCGGACGGUCUGUUAAAAUAAGAAUUUAAAUCUAGAACAACGCCUCCUUUGAGCGGUCCGGACAAUCCUGAAUUCUUUAGGGUUGCCAUUCCAUCGAGGCUUAAACGAGGAUGACGCGGAGGUGUUGCCCAUUGACGGGUUUUGGUGGCAAGGAGUCACUGAACGAAACGCUAAACCAAAUAAAAAAAAAAUAUUAAAAAAGACCCAUCCCCAGCAACGUCAACCUGCAGGAAGAAAAAGACCAGUUUCUAUGGCCUUCAGACUCGUAGAUCGCGGAGAUAAUUACGUAAAACUGGCAUGGGGUGGCGUAGAGGUUGGGUGAGAAUGACACGUUUUUCAACAUUAUCAAGCAGACCCAUCCCCGGCAAAGUCACCAGCAGAAGGAAAGGCCAGUUUGCAUUUCAAUUGAAGGUCAUGGAGAUCAUUACAUAAAAGGUGUCAUACAGUGGUGUAGAGGUUGGGUGAGAAAAGGACGUUUUGCAUCAUUAUCAAAAAGUUAAUUAUGGUGUUGUGUUGCUGUUGGGCGUCGUAUCGUUGAUGUCGACCACGAGAGAAAAUCUUACAAAAGGAAAGAGAAAGGGCAACAGAAGUCAAUCGUGUGUGCAUCUCCGACCCGGCAACAACUGCAUUCUUUCGUCGUAUCAUCAGGUCGCAAUUACGGGCGGAUACCAAACUGCAACGCCGCCGCCUUACUACACAACAAUAUACGCAACGACCAGUUACUAAACCGAGGUUGUUACUACACCGAGGUUGCACAGUUUGGUUUACAGUUAAACCACCAAGGAUCCAGAUAAUUACACCACAACUUGUGAUGCUCCUCGAGCUACACUACCAAAGCGCUAGAGUACUACACCGAGGCUCCUAAGUACUACACCACCAAG